AGAGUUUGAUUCAUGGCUCAGGAUGAACGCUAGCGGCAGGCCUAAUACAUGCAAGUCGGACGGGAUAGGAGAGCUUGCUUUCCUUGAGAGUGGCGCACGGGUGCGUAACACGUAUGUAACCUACCUUGAUCAGGGGGAUAGCCUCUCGAAAGAGAGAUUAAGACCGCAUAACAUUGCAAUAUGGCAUCAUAAAGCAAUCAAAUAUUUAUAGGAUCAAGAUGGGCAUGCGGAACAUUAGCUAGUUGGUGUGGUAACGGCAUACCAAGGCUACGAUGUUUAGGGGAUCUGAGAGGAUGACCCCCCACACUGGUACUGAGACACGGACCAGACUCCUACGGGAGGCAGCAGUAAGGAAUAUUGGUCAAUGGGCGGAAGCCUGAACCAGCCAUGCCGCGUGCAGGAAGACGGCCCUACGGGUUGUAAACUGCUUUUGCAGGGGAAUAAACCUCGAUACGUGUAUCGAGCUGAAUGUACUCGAGAAUAGAUGGC
rnacentral:rRNA from 1 species